AUCAAUAUAAGCAAAAGAGGAUAUACUUACGGUGGACCCUUGAGGGGUGCUAUGUACCUCCCUUUUAUGUUGUGGAACAUGAAUCCGAUGCCUUGGUCUAUCUUCCCAUUUGAAUCAAGCUUAACGACUUACCCAUUUGGAUUUGAAGACUUUCCUGUAGGGGUUAAUCCACAUAUACAACCAAGAUCUAUAAAAUUAUCAACUGUAAGGUUCAUCAAUCAAACUCGACACCAUGUCUAUUUUAAUUGAAGAAGACAUUUUAAUCUAAGCACCAUGCGUAAUUUAAAAAGCCUAUGAAUGCACAUCCGGAGACAUACAUUCAAAGCAUAGCAUACGAGCAUAGAAUAAGGAAGCAUGAAAGCAUGAUCAAGCUAUUUUCAAAGGGAGAUAAACAUGAGUAUAUGAUGGUGAACCUCGGGCAACCUCCCGGAAGGGCUUUGUUUAAAGUCAAAAGUAGGACAUACCUAAAGGCACUUACCAUGGUGUCUAGAUGAUGAAGAAUUCUGAAGAAUCGCCGUGGUAACUCCUCACUUCUCUUUUUUUCAUUUUUUAGAGGGUAAGAUGCAAGAACCAACACCAUCUCCAAACCAAGAUAAGAUUUGGCAUCAGAGGAACUUACUCGGGUUACUCACUUACCUCCCCCACACUUGGAGUUUGCCUUGCUGGCAACACAACUCAAGUGUGUGCAGUUCAAGCU
rnacentral:lncRNA from 1 species